GAGUAAGACGUGGCCUACCUGCCCCUGACUCUGGGAUAAGCGCUGGAAACGGCGUCUAAUACUGGACAUGUCCCGUCACCAAAUGGUGUGCGGGUGGAAAGAUUUUUCGGUUGGGGAUGGGCUCGCGGCCUAUCAGCUUGUUGGUGAGGUAAUGGCUCACCAAGGCGUCGACGGGUAGCCGGCCUGAGAGGGUGACCGGCCACACUGGGACUGAGACACGGCCCAGACUCCUACGGGAGGCAGCAGUGGGGAAUAUUGCACAAUGGGCGGAAGCCUGAUGCAGCAACGCCGCGUGAGGGAUGACGGCCUUCGGGUUGUAAACCUCUUUUAGCAGGGAAGAAGCGAGAGUGACGGUACCUGCAGAAAAAGCACCGGCUAACUACGUGCCAGCAGCCGCGGUAAUACGUAGGGUGCAAGCGUUAUCCGGAAUUAUUGGGCGUAAAGAGCUCGUAGGCGGUCUGUCGCGUCUGCUGUGAAAUUCCGAGGCUCAACCUCGGGCUUGCAGUGGGUACGGGCAGACUAGAGUGCGGUAGGGGAGAUUGGAAUUCCUGGUGUAGCGGUGGAAUGCGCAGAUAUCAGGAGGAACACCGAUGGCGAAGGCAGAUCUCUGGGCCGUAACUGACGCUGAGGAGCGAAAGGGUGGGGAGCAAACAGGCUUAGAUACCCUGGUAGUCCACCCCGUAAACGUUGGGAACUAGUUGUGGGGUCCUUUCCACGGAUUCCGUGACGCAGCUAACGCAUUAAGUUCCCCGCCUGGGGAGUACGGCCGCAAGGCUAAAACUCAAAGGAAUUGACGGGGACCCGCACAAGCGGCGGAGCAUGCGGAUUAAUUCGAUGCAACGCGAAGAACCUUACCAAGGCUUGACAUACACGAGAACGGGCCAGAAAUGGUCAACUCUUUGGACACUCGUGAACAGGUGGUGCAUGGUUGUCGUCAGCUCGUGUCGUGAGAUGUUGGGUUAAGUCCCGCAACGAGCGCAACCCUCGUUCUAUGUUGCCAGCACGUAAUGGUGGGAACUCAUGGGAUACUGCCGGGGUCAACUCGGAGGAAGGUGGGGAUGACGUCAAAUCAUCAUGCCCCUUAUGUCUUGGGCUUCACGCAUGCUACAAUGGCCGGUACAAUGGGCUGCGAUACCGUAAGGUGGAGCGAAUCCCAAAAAGCCGGUCCCAGUUCGGAUUGAGGUCUGCAACUCGACCUCAUGAAGUCGGAGUCGCUAGUAAUCGCAGAUCAGCAACGCUGCGGUGAAUACGUUCCCGGGUCUUGUACACACCGCCCGUC
rnacentral:rRNA from 1 species